rnacentral:miRNA from 2 species
AAAAUCGCUUUGGAUUAGGAAGUU